rnacentral:hammerhead_ribozyme from 1 species
AUUCAGCUGACGAGUCCCAAAUAGGACGAAACGCGCGUUGUGGAU